UUAGAAAAAUAGGAAUUGAAC
rnacentral:tRNA from 1 species